rnacentral:rRNA from 1 species
CUACGGGUUGCUGCAGUGGGGAAUAUUGGACAAUGGGGGAAACCCUGAUCCAGCAAUGCCGCGUGUGUGAAGAAGGCCUGCGGGUUGUAAAGCACUUUCGGUUGGGAGGACUGCUUCUAGCACUAAUAUUGUUGGAAGUUGACGUUACCUUCAGAAGAAGCACCGGCUAACUCCGUGCCAGCAGCCGCGGUAAUACGGAGGGUGCAAGCGUUAAUCGGAAUUACUGGGCGUAAAGCGCGCGUAGGCGGCUAGAUCAGUCGGGUGUGAAAGCCCCGGGCUUAACCUGGGAACUGCAUCCGAUACUGUCUAGCUUGAGUACAGGAGAGGAGAGUGGAAUUCCAUAUGUAGCGGUGAAAUGCGUAGAUAUGUGGAGGAACACCAAUGGCGAAGGCAGCUCUCUGGCCUGAUACUGACGCUGAGGUGCGAAGGCGUGGGGAGCAAACAGGAUUAGAUACCCCUGUAGUC